GCGAUGUUAAAGUAUACAGGUCAAAAAUUAGAACUUUUGUCUGAUUACGAUAUGUUGCUGAUGUUUGAGAAUGGUAUUCGUGGUGGUCUGGUUCAAGCGAGCAUGCGAUAUGCAAAAGCCAAUAAUUUAAAGUCCCCGAAUUAUGACGAAACGAAGGAGAAAUCUUGGUUGGUGUAUCAAGAUUGUAACAACUUGUACGGUUAUG